UGGGCCAGAGCUUAGUUGGUAGAGCUUUUGUUUCACAUACAUAAAGCCUUGGGUUCAAUCCCCAGCACCCCAU
rnacentral:tRNA from 1 species